CGGGUGAGUAACGCGUGGAUAACCUGCCGUAUACAGGGGGAUAACACUUAGAAAUAGGUGCUAAUACCGCAUAAGCGCACGGUUCCGCAUGGAACAGUGUGAAAAACUCCGGUGGUAUACGAUGGAUCCGCGUCUGAUUAGCUGGUUGGCGGGGCAACGGCCCACCAAGGCGACGAUCAGUAGCCGGCCUGAGAGGGUGGGCGGCCACAUUGGGACUGAGACACGGCCCAG
rnacentral:rRNA from 1 species